UACGAAGGGGGCUAGCGUUGUUCGGAAUUACUGGGCGUAAAGCGCACGUAGGCGGCUUUGUAAGUCAGGGGUGAAAUCCCGGGGCUCAACCUCGGAACUGCCUUUGAUACUGCAAAUCUCGAGUCCGGAAGAGGUGAGUGGAAUUCCUAGUGUAGAGGUGAAAUUCGUAGAUAUUAGGAAGAACACCAGUGGCGAAGGCGGCUCACUGGUCCGGUACUGACGCUGAGGUGCGAAAGCGUGGGGAGCAAACAGG
rnacentral:rRNA from 1 species